AUCAUUUGGUUACAAACACCAUCUGGAUAGACAUAGCCGUGUUCACGAUACUAGUGUUUUCACUUGUAAAAUAUGCCACACUAAGGUCAAAACAAGAAGCAAUUUUAUUAGGCAUAUGACUCGGCAACAUGAUGGGUUAGAUCCUAAAAAUUACUGAAAUCAGAGUAUUUAUUAAAAAACGUCUCAAUAUCGAUUAUUGCUGUUCUUCUUUAUAUAACAAACAGUUUGUAGCAGGUAAAUAAUUAACUGAUGUUUGUCAGGAAAAAAAUGCUAAGCAUGUCCAUUGCUAAAAAUGAUUGAUGCAUUUUGGACAAGAGCAAACUUACUAUCUUAUUUUAGGGGCGGACCAUUAGAGGCUUCGGUAGGGGGAAAUUUGCGCACAAAAUUGAUUUGAUUUUGAAUGGAUAUUGUCUUCUGAUUUGAAUUCCUUGCGUCGGUUAUAUAAUAUAUAUUGACGAAAUACA